AGAAAAGGUGUUGGUCGAUAUAAACAGCAGGACGGUGGCCAUGGAAGUCGGAAUCCACUAAGAAGUGUGUAACAACUCACCUGCCGAAUCAACUAGCCCUGAAAAUGGAUGGCGCUGGA
rnacentral:ncRNA from 1 species